GUGCGAGACCGAUAGCGAACAAGUACCGUGAGGGAAAGAUGAAAAGAACUUUGAAAAGAGAGUUAAAGAGUACCUGAAACUGCUGAAAGGGAACCGAAUCGUAUCCAGUGUCUAUAAUCCAUGGCAUAUUUCAUUGGCGAGUGAGUGCGUGCAGCGUUUUGGAAGUGGUUUUCCGCUCCUGUCGUUGUUGUGCAUUUGCUUGCUGGUGCCCUGUGCUGUGGUGGGACGUCAGAGUCAGUUUGUAUGUUGCGGGAAAUGGUUAUUGGGGAGGUAGGUCACUUCGGUGGCUGUUAUAUCCUGGUAACUAGUCGUCGUGGCUGAGACUGAGGUGCCUACAAUGUGCUUUCGAGUGUGCGGGAUUCUCGUGUGGCUGUUUGCUUUGAUAGCUUGCUAUGUUGGUGAAUAAGUCGUGCGAUUGAGACUUGUAUUAACUUGUUGCUGUUCGGGACUUUA
rnacentral:rRNA from 2 species